CCUACGGGCGGCUGCAGUGGGGAAUAUUGGACAAUGGGCGAAAGCCUGAUCCAGCCAUGCCGCGUUUGUGAAGAAGGCCUUCGGGUUGUAAAGCACUUUCAGUGGGGAAGAAAGCCUUGGGGCUAAUACCCUCGAGGAAGGACAUCACCCACAGAAGAAGCACCGGCUAACUCCGUGCCAGCAGCCGCGGUAAUACGGAGGGUGCGAGCGUUAAUCGGAAUUACUGGGCGUAAAGCGCGCGUAGGCGGUCUGAUAAGCCGGUUGUGAAAGCCCCGGGCUCAACCUGGGAACGGCAUCCGGAACUGUCAGGCUAGAGUGCAGGAGAGGAAGGUAGAAUUCCCGGUGUAGCGGUGAAAUGCGUAGAGAUCGGGAGGAAUACCAGUGGCGAAGGCGGCCUUCUGGACUGACACUGACGCUGAGGUGCGAAAGCGUGGGUAGCAAACAGGAUUAGAUACCCGAGUAGUC
rnacentral:rRNA from 1 species